rnacentral:rRNA from 1 species
UAAUACAUGCAAGUCGAGCGAAUGGAUUAAGAGCUUGCUCUUAUGAGUAGCGGCGGACGGGUGAGUAACACGUGGGUAACCUGCCCAUAAGACUGGGAUAACUCCGGGAAACCGGGGCUAAUACCGGAUAAUAUAUUGANCUGAUAGUUCGAAAUUGAAAGGCGGCUUCGGCUGUCACUUAUGGAUGGACCCGCGUCGYAUUAGCUAGUUGGUGAGGUAACGGCUCACCAAGGCAACGAUGCGUAGCCGACCUGAGAGGGUGAUCGGCCACAC